UACGAAGGGGGGCUAGCGUUGCUCGGAAUUACUGGGCGUAAAGCGCACGUAGGCGGCUCUUUAAGUCGGGGGUGAAAUCCUGGAGCUCAACUCCAGAACUGCCUUCGAUACUGGAGAGCUUGAGUCCGGGAGAGGUGAGUGGAACUGCGAGUGUAGAGGUGAAAUUCGUAGAUAUCAGGUGGAACACCAGUGGCGAAGGCGGCUUUCUGGACGGUAACUGACGGCUGAGACGCGAAAGCGUGGGGAGCAAACAGG
rnacentral:rRNA from 1 species